ACGAACGCUGGCGGCGUGGAUAAGACAUGCAAGUCGAACGAGAGAAUUGCUAGCUUGCUAAUAAUUCUCUAGUGGCGCACGGGUGAGUAACACGUGAGUAACCUGCCCCCGAGAGCGGGAUAGCCCUGGGAAACUGGGAUUAAUACCGCAUAGUAUCGAAAGAUUAAAGCAGCAAUGCGCUUGGGGAUGGGCUUGCGGCCUAUUAGUUAGUUGGUGAGGUAACGGCUCACCAAGGCGAUGACGGGUAGCCGGUCUGAGAGGAUGUCCGGCCACACUGGAACUGAGACACGGUCCAGACACCUACGGGUGGCAGCAGUCGAGAAUCAUUCACAAUGGGGGAAACCCUGAUGGUGCGACGCCGCGUGGGGGAAUGAAGGUCUUCGGAUUGUAAACCCCUGUCAUGUGGGAGCAAAUUAAAAAGAUAGUACCACAAGAGGAAGAGACGGCUAACUCUGUGCCAGCAGCCGCGGUAAUACAGAGGUCUCAAGCGUUGUUCGGAAUCACUGGGCGUAAAGCGUGCGUAGGCUGUUUCGUAAGUCGUGUGUGAAAGGCGCGGGCUCAACCCGCGGACGGCACAUGAUACUGCGAGACUAGAGUAAUGGAGGGGGAACCGGAAUUCUCGGUGUAGCAGUGAAAUGCGUAGAUAUCGAGAGGAACACUCGUGGCGAAGGCGGGUUCCUGGACAUUAACUGACGCUGAGGCACGAAGGCCAGGGGAGCGAAAGGGAUUAGAUACCCCUGUAGUCCUGGCAGUAAACGGUGCACGCUUGGUGUGCGGGGAAUCGACCCCCUGCGUGCCGGAGCUAACGCGUUAAGCGUGCCGCCUGGGGAGUACGGUCGCAAGAUUAAAACUCAAAGAAAUUGACGGGGACCCGCACAAGCGGUGGAGUAUGUGGCUUAAUUCGAUGCAACGCGAAGAACCUUACCUGGGCUUGACAUGUAAUGAACAACAUGUGAAAGCAUGCGACUCUUCGGAGGCGUUACACAGGUGCUGCAUGGCCGUCGUCAGCUCGUGUCGUGAGAUGUUUGGUUAAGUCCAGCAACGAGCGCAACCCCUGUUGCCAGUUACCAGCACGUGAAGGUGGGGACUCUGGCGAGACUGCCCAGAUCAACUGGGAGGAAGGUGGGGACGACGUCAGGUCAGUAUGGCCCUUAUGCCCAGGGCUGCACACGUACUACAAUGCCCAGUACAGAGGGGGCCGAAGCCGCGAGGCGGAGGAAAUCCUGAAAACUGGGCCCAGUUCGGACUGUAGGCUGCAACCCGCCUACACGAAGCCGGAAUCGCUAGUAAUGGCGCAUCAGCUACGGCGCCGUGAAUACGUUCCCGGGUCUUGUACACACCGCCCGUCACAUCAUGGAAGCCGGUCGCACCCGAAGUAUCUGAAGCCAACCGCAAGGAGGCAGGGUCCUAAGGUGAGACUGGUAACUGGGAUG
rnacentral:rRNA from 1 species